UCAUGGCUUAGCAUAUUUGCAUUCAAGUUAACCGGAUUAAAUUGAACUUGAACAAUUGUUGGCUGAGUCAUGGUGCCGCUGAAUCGAUGCUGACCAGUGCAACCACGCUUAUCGGUAUGGGACGGUCCUAACUGGGUCUAUUGUCGUGCCUCUCGCCAGUGCCUCCAACGAGGGAAGGUUAUGGGCACGUGCUACCCAGAUCAGGUAGGUGGAGCAUAACCUUGUGUGCCCAUUGUUGAGUUAGUUUUUGGAUCCGUGUCCCUGUGUGGGACGGUCCACGAUGGUGGUCGUUGUGUCUGGAGGUAGGCACGUGGCCACCCAUGACUUAGCUCAGUGAGGAGUGAGUCGGAGUGGCCGGGAGAGUGUCAUGGCAGUAGAUCGUUUUUGUUGGAAAGCCGUUGGUCCACCCGAAUGGGAGGAUGAGGCCAUGGGUUCCGUAGUGUGGGUACAGUGUAUUAAUCUCUGCAGAGUGUAUAUUAAAUCUAUCAAUAGCCGUGCCCGCGAAUAAGGGCCCAGGUCGAGAGAAGGUCACACCAUGAGUCAACAAUAAUAAAAAUAAUGUGUUAAUAACAACGAGAUGGGCCAUGUGUUGGUCGGGUUGUGAUCGCCGUAAGGGUCACGGGCCAAGUGUUGGUCGGGUUGUGAUCGUCGUAAGGAUCACGAGCCAUUUAGUGGUCGGGUUGUGAUUGCCGUAAGGAUCACAAGUUUGUCUCUGUUGGGGAUCAGGAAAUGAGAUGAUCACCGUUGGUAAGAGAGUCCGAGGGACUCAGUGCACAAGUUUGGUUGCAUUGCAUGAGUAAUAUGUUUGCAUUUAAAGAACCAUGGUAGAUCAUGAGAUGGUUGCAUACAGUUAACAUGCUAUGUCUGCAUUUGAUAUGAUUGGUAGUUUGUUAUUGCCAUGCCAUGCUUUGAUUGAUAUGAUUUAGAUGAUCGUGUGAUGUCCAAGGUUAGUAAGUGAUGCAUGAGUUGGUUACGAGAUAACCCGAGCAGAUUAAGUGGUGCAUAUAGUGUCAUCAUGUUGCAUGCUAGUGAUGUUGGAUUAAUAAGUUCAUGUUGUGAUAGCUGUAUCAAGUUUAUGUUGGUGAUGCCAUGUUAUUCUGAUGAUAUCAUGUUAGUUCCUGUUUAACCUGUAAUUGCCAUGAUGUUGUCUGCCUGGAAUGCUUCUGGUUAUUAUGAGCUUGCAAGUACAUUCAAUGUACUGACUUGGCGUGUCAUGCCAGCUUGCAGGUCAUGCCGAAUUUGAUUUCUUGCUUGUCGUGGUUUCCGUUCGUGCGAGCUAGGAUAAGCGUUCCAGCCAGAGUUCCUGCGGAGUGGAGUUCACCACCGUCGUCGUUGUUCCGCUGCUAGAGUUAUUCCCCUGCUUCGAGUUGUUCUGCUGCUUGCAUAGAGCAACUGAGGAUGGUGUAGUGUCGCCAUGCCGAUGUUAUUCAUUGUAAUAUCGGAGACCUUGUACUCAUAUUCGUGUAAUAAUAGAAGGCUGGUUUGUUCUAUGCUAAGCAGUGCCGUAUUCCAGAAGACUUCUCCUCGAUCUCUGGGCUGGAAUACGGGGCGUUCCGAUUUCCUCUGAGCCGGGGUGCCACAGGCUUGGUAUCAGAGCAGGUCUGGCUGUAGGACGCCCUAGACCGCGUGAACGUUAGAAAUCGGUAGUAUAGAGUCUGGCUUGUUGAUUGCACUUGAUUGCUGCAUUUGUUUGUCGCAUAGCAUGCAUAUAGAAUAUUAUUUAGUCAAUAAUGGUUUAUCUGGUGAGUGUAGCUGGCAUCGGUUUGGAUCCGCUACAGCUCAACCUUUGCAUUUCUCCAGUUCCCUUUUUCCUUCAGUGUUUGGUGUCAUUUCUGUCCCAGCAGAGUGAUGCCAAGUGAUCCCGACACUGUUUGCAAAAUUGGUGCUUAGGUAUCGCACUGAUGUCUUUCCUUCAGUCUCGCCUAUCAUUUCGGUGAUGGACAUGCGUCUAUCCCAGAUCAUUCUUUUAUUUUGUCAUGUUGGCAACCCUUAAUGAUCUCAGUUAUCAAGAAAGGGCAAUGUCAGCAGUCUCAGUUUUUCCCCGCAAUCCUAUUUCUUCGACGAGUACGAAUAUUUUUCCGUCCGCUUGAUAAUAAUGUGGUUGCGACCUUUGUGUCGCACUGCUUGAUUACCGAGUAUGUCCUCGUCUCCGAGCUGGUUCAGAUUGCUAUCUGGCUAAGCUACCACUUGGUGUAGCACUGUUUACACCAACUAUUCCACACAUUUAUUCGUCCUCAUGCACACCGCCACAGCAUAUUAGACCGCAAUACCGGAGUUUCCCCAAGAUUUGUGUGCUUAGGUGUGCAUGCAUAUUAUUGUGUGAGUAGUUGUAAUAUGUGAUGAUUGCUUGAUUAAUUAUAUUAGUAGAAUGCUUGUGUGCUUUUGUUUUCAUUGUUUCUGUCAUUCCUUUCUUUGGGCCUUCGGUGUUACAAAUUUUUCCCCUAUUAAAGUUGCUCGUUAGCCGACACUGGACCCAAAGAGUUAGCAAGAAAUGCAUAUAUUUGGAAUUCAGCUAAACAGAAUGGAAUUAUCAGCUGCCUGCAAUGAAAAUUGGGAAUAUCUUGUCUGGAUGCAAAAAAACCCUUGAUGGAUCGUCAGUACCUAGUUUGCAUUAGCGUGCACUCAUCACAACAAAAUGAUUAAAUCAGCAAGAAGAUAAAUUGUGUGCAAGGUUGACAGAAUAUUAUCAAAGGUAUGGCUCAAAUACAAGUUUAAGUUUUCAUUGAGGAUGAUUUUGGAACUCGAUGUACCUGGAAGCAAGCAAAAAUAUUGCAUAUAGUCCAGUAAAACCCUGUUUCAUACAAGAAAUCAACAUCAAAAAUAUUAUGAUGGUUAUAUAUGUGGAAAUCGGUCCGCAUAUCACAAUAAAAAGCUUCUGGUGUAAGCAACCCAAUUUUCCCUUGCAAGAUACCAGAUAAGCUUCCAAGGCAAGAUUCAUCUAUCUUCCUCAGUGUGAUACAUGGAUGAUUUCCCGUGCAAGGUACUCUGCCUUCUUCAGUAAGCAACCGCAAAAGCUUCCAGCAUAAGGUACCGAGUCUUUCCCCAACAAAGUCUUUAAGGGGGUAAGCUUCUGAAGCACGAUACCUAGUCUUCUUCAACAAGCUAUCCGAUGAAAGUUUCGAGCACAAGCCAGCAAAUAUUCCUCAGUAAGACAUUGGUACAAGGUAGUACACUGUGAAUUGACAGAUAUGGUAGUGAAUCCCAAGAAUCAGACCUGCAACAUUUUGGCCAGAAUCAAGAAUCAGUCAGAAUACACGUCUAUCUCGGAAUCAGGUCCUCAUAUAUAUGCAAUGAGCAUACCAUCAAGAUCUUACAAGUCACUCGGAUGAGGAUCUGACAACCACGUGAGGAUGGUUAAUAGAAGAAAGCCAGUAUACACCACAGUGUGACAAACGAUUAUGAGGAUUGACGACCUCAGUGAGCUCAGUACAAGUACUCGUGAACCUGGAAAAGGAUCCUGAUGAGCCCUUGUCCCAUUUUCCCCAAUGACAACACCACACCUAUGAUCUGAGUUGUUUCUAGAUAUCCGGGGUGGAUGCUGAUUUUUGUUUCUCUCUUCAAUGACUGUCACAAUUCUGACCUGCUUUUCGGCCAUCUCGUACAACUAUUGGGUUCCUUUUUGUGACAGUGGCCCUAUAGUUGCUUUUGGCUAUUUUAGGGAGCUGCCACCUUAUUCUUAUCGACCCAGUCUCAUGCUCUGGGCUGCUUUUUGGCCGUCUUGAGCCGUGGUUGAGUUAUUUCAGUAAUGUCCCAGAUCUGAGUUGUAAAAACUGUUCUGGUGGCUACUGAUUUAUUUGCCGAUUUUCUUGCAAGAGUUUCGGAUGAUCAUUUCCCAACGAUCAGAACUUGAGAGGUGUUAAACCUGCAAUUUAAUGGUUACCUAGUCAGAAAAAUGAGGAUAAGCUAUGAUUGCCGAAAAAUUGCACCGACAGUACCUAUGGUCAUACAAAGAAACAAUAUGACCCAGCUCUUUCAGCCAAGGAUACAGACCAAGAAAACAAUAAUGAAGGAGCAAGACCAGUGAUACAUGUAUAAAAAUUGUUGCAUGACCCCCAUGGUGUAGAUCCCCGGACAGUCUAAGUCAGUAUUGAUCCACAUGGAUAUGUUUACAGCAUGAGUACUCGGCAUGAGGAAUAACAACCUGGAAGCCUGAGUCCUCACUUAUAUGAAUCAUCAUGGAUAGCCUGUCGUGACCAAAAAAAUUCCGUCAGAACCACCGUCAGUCAAGUCUACAGAUAUUAUCAUACAGGCCAAAACCUUUAUGCUGGCCGCGACAGGAGAAAGUCAAAUAUUUGGUACGGAUCCGAUACUCACGACAGUGGAACCAGUUAAGAUGAUUCAGAAACUUCUGUGAUGAGUCAGAAUCUGUUAGUAAACGAUUAUGUUUUAACUCACUAUUUGGAACCCAAAGGACCUGCAUUCAGUGGAGAAACCCAAUGCAAUGAGUCAGAGCUUGACUUUUCAUCAGAAAAAUUUGAUUAUCAUUACAUGAAAGGUUGUCAGUGCCGGGUGUCACAUCCAGCGGAAAUCACUUUUGGAUUUGUGAAGACGGACAUAUAUUUCAGUCAUGAUGAUUAAUCACACUCAGCUAGCCAGCAGAUCUAAAAAGAAAUUGGAGCCUAUAUAAGCAUGAGAAAGCCAGGUAAGAUCUGUCAGAAUGUGGAUACAGUAAAGCAAACCACCCAGAGCUAGUCAGAUAAAAAUUUAAUGGGAACAACAAUAAAGGAAAAAGGAUACCCGAGUUGGAAACGGUUUCCUUAAGUCGGAAUAUUCAUACUUGUUCCCUGAGCAACCAAAUCUCGAGGAUGAGAUUUCUUUAAGGGGUUAAGGUUUGUGAUAGCCUGACUUUUGGCCCGUUCUUUUUCUUGUGUUUUUCCGAGGUUUUUCCCUGAGUUUUCUUUUUCCGUGACUUUCCAGUUUUCUUUUUCCGUGGCUUUGUGGUCUGGAAACCGAAGAAGAUGACCUCUUUUUUGCUUCCAGAGUGGCUUGUCAUUCCCAAAUCUUUCCCUAGACCCUGUCAUUUCCAUCCUAGCCCAAAUCCCAAUAUUCUUUUUAUUGAGAAUAUUACUUUUCUGUUAAAGGAAUAACUCCAAUUUCCCAAGGUUGUGAAGCAACCUAUAUCUCCAUCACUCCUAAAAUUCCCAAAUAAUUCUCAUAAAUUGUUUGGGUCAUAUCUUGAUCAAAUAUGGCAAAACUUUUCAUUGCCAAGUUCAAAAAUAAUCCUCCAAUAAUUCAUUUCCUAUUCUGCCCUAAAUGGCACUUUGCGAAGGAAGUGUCCUUUAUAUUUAUCCUAUUGACUCCCAACCUUUUUGGGCAUGUUUAUAUGUACAAAUAAUUGCCUCAUGCACAAGUUCAAAUUUAUUUGACUAGCCAAUCUUCCUCAGUGAAUUUUCCAAGUUUCUGUCGGACAGAAGGCUUUGUAAAGGAAGUACUAGCUAGGAGAUCCAAAUGAGUUGAACUUUUGCACACUCCUUAAUGUGCUCAUAUUAACCCCUUCCACCCAUUUGCAGCCCCAUCCAAUAAUCUAUGUGAGGACAUGAGCAAAUCUUUGUUUCUGGUAAUAUUUUCAGGUUGUGAAGCAAGUAUAUUUUAUAUUGAUUCAAAAAUCCUGAUAAAUUACCAGAUCAUUCUUAUACCCAUAAAACAUCUCUCCACCAAUUUUGGCAUCAUUUAAUUGAGCCAUGUGACCACCAUAAUUAUUUCAAGUUUCUGUCCAGAGAAGAUGUUUGUGAAUCAAGUACCAUUUUGGCUUUGCCAAAUGAUAUGAUACUUGGUGAGCAUUUUCAUAUGACCAAAUGACUAAGACUUGCCCAGUUGGAGCUCAAUUGGACACUCCAUGUGAGUGCAUCUUCAUGAUUUUCAUUUCUGGACCAUUUUGGCAAUUGCAAAGCAACUGCAGUAAAACUUGGUCCAUUUACCCUCCCAACCUCCAGGAUCAUAGUCCUUCCUAUCCUAAACACCCCAGACAACUUGUUUUGCCCUUAGCAACGCUCUGUUGAUCACCAGUGCACGACUAAGUUUACUGCAGUAAACUUCAGCAGUUGAUAAUCUUUUAACCAGAGACGUUUUCACCAAGUUACCACCUCAGAUCAAACCUACUUUGGAAGGACUAUCAGCUAGACAACUUUUUAGGUGUUGUAGAUCAUUUAAUGUGCCAUGUCACGUCACGUGGUGACCACGCAGCUGGCAUGCCUGUUGGCGCGCUCUGUGUGCAGUGGCCGCGUCUAGAUCAUUGUUUGUGCUGGACCCCAUCCUCCUGUCGUCGUCUUAGAGCCCGUGAUGAUGUCUAGUAGGUAGCCCUCGUCGUCGCCGCUCCGAUGGACCCCUCUCCCCCUCCAGAAGCUAGCUCACCGACGCUCCCCGACGAGCGCCCACGGGAGCACAGUGCUCUGACAUGUUUUAAUGGUGCUCGGCCUCUUCCUCUGCCCCUCCUUUGGCCUUCUCCUCCUUGUGAGCUCUCUCCUGCUUCCCCCUCUGUCGUUUGCCCCCGAGCCCAUGCGCGCGGGCACGCGUCCGUGGCGCCGAACACGCGUCGCUGGAGGUGCCAGCUCGGCCUCCCUUGCCCCGGCUAUUUAUAGCCCUCCCCCGAGCCUCUGGACCUCACCACUGGCCUCGCCUCUCUCCCAGCUCCCUCCCCGUCCACUCGUUCGAGCCCCCGAAGCUCUCUCUGCCCCCAUGGCCGCCAUGGCCACCGCCUCGGUCUCGGCUAAAUUCACCCAACGCCGAGCCUCCCUCUCCAUUCUUCCUCCUCCUCGGCCUUCCCCACCUCCCAUAGGGCCUCCCCAACCCAUUCGCUCAUCGCCGGGGCCUCUGUUGCCGCCGUCCCCAAUCUUAGCCGCCGCCGUCUGUAGCUCUUGCCACCGCACGGUGCCGCGGCCACACCCCUCCCGGCGCUCCCUCUGCCCUUGGAUGGAGGCGGCGCGCCAUCCUGAAGCCGCCGGUGCCCUCGCCUUGGCCUGGAGUGGCUGGAGCCGCCAGGGACGGGGCCGGCAGCGCCCCUGCCUUUGCUUCGGUCGGGCCAGGAAGAGGAGGAAGAAGACGAAGGCGUUGACCUGGCCAGCUGGCCAGGUGGGCCCCAUCGCCUGCACGUGGACCCCCCUGUAAGCCUCUAAGCCGCCGACACCGCGUUGACCAGUCCAUGCUGACAUGGAUAAGUGGAAACGUAUUCCGCGGAAUACUUUUUCGCUGACCGAAAGCGUGUUUCUGUUUUGCACUUCGUCUUAUCCACUCAGGGACUUAUUUGUGAUGAAAUGUUUGCAGAAAAGUCCCUGAACUUCAACCCUCCAUAUCUUUUUAUCCGUAACUCCGUUUGAGGUGAAUCCAAAGCCCACUUCUUCGUUUCGUCGAGCCCUUCCUGUUGGUGUCACUUUCAUUAUGUUUUGGCAUAUUGAAAGUGACCAUUUUGCCCCUGCCCUUAAUCAGCCCCCUCCGAGAGAGUACGUUUUCCGGUGAUUCUUUCCGCAGCUUCACCGCACUUCUCCCCGGUGCCUUAUUCAUCCCAGGGCAAGCCACAAUACCCACUUGCAUGAUAGUCAUGCAGUAGCCAUGGUUUUCAACUUGAAUAUUUAAUAAAUGUUUGCUUGUUGAAAAGAUGGUUACCGUUGUUCCGGUGAUGUUCAGAUUAGCAUGUUCACUUUUGUGCUAUGUUGUUUUGUACCCUGUGAUCAUGUUAUACCUGCUAGUAUGACCUUUCAUAUGUUUAUGCUUGUUAGUAGUACAUGUUGAUGUUGGAGAUGGUCAUGCUAGAUAGUAUGCGAUACUCAGUGGAUAUGAUUUAUUGUUGAUAUGGUGGAAAGCUAUGUGAUACUCUCAUGAUGAUGUUGAUAUCAUGUUCAUGCAUUUUAUCAUGGCUUAGCAUAUUUGCAUUCAAGUUAACCGGAUUAAAUUGAACUUGAACAAUUGUUGGCUGAGUCAUGGUGCCGCUGAAUCAAUGCUGACCAGUGCAACCACGCUUAUCGGUAUGGGACGGUCCUAACUGGGUCUAUUGUCGUGCCUCUCGCCGGUGCCUCCAACGAGGGAAGGUUAUGGGCACGUGCUACCCAGAUCAGGUAGGCGGAGCAUAACCUUGUGUGCCCGUUGUUGAGUUAGUUUUUGGAUCCGUGUCCCUGUGUGGGAUGGGCCACGAUGGUGGUCGUUGUGUCUGGAGGUAGGCACGGGGCCAGCCAUGACUUAGCUCAGUGAG
rnacentral:lncRNA from 1 species